AUUGAACGCUGGCGGAAUGCUUUACACAUGCAAGUCGAACGAUGACCCUUAGCUUGCUAACGGGAGUAGUGGCGAACGGGUGAGUAAUAUAUCUGAACUUGCCUUGUCAUGGGGGAUAACUAGCCGAAAGAUUAGCUAAUACCGCAUACGACCUGAGGGGGACAGUGGGGGGUCUUGCGUCCUAACGUUUUAAGAGCGGGCGAGAUCUGAUUAACUGGUUGGUGGGGUAAUGGCCUUAAAAGGCGACUAACAGAAACUGGUCUGAGGGGACGGCCAGCCACACGGGAACUGAGACACGGUCCAGACUCCUACGGGAGGCAGCGGUGGGGAAUUUUGGGCAAUGGGGGAGAGGCUGAUCCAGCCAAUCCGCGGGAGUGAAGAAGGCCCUCGGGUUGUAAAGCUCUUACGCAAGGGAAGAAAUCAUGCCAUCGAAUAAAUGGUGAGACUGACGGUACCUUGAGAAGAAGCACCGGCUAACUACGUG
rnacentral:rRNA from 1 species